rnacentral:rRNA from 1 species
GUAAGUUCCGACCUGCACGAAUGGCGUAACGAUGGCGGCGCUGUCUCCACCCGAGACUCAGUGAAAUUGAAAUCGCUGUGAAGAUGCAGUGUAUCCGCGGCUAGACGGAAAGACCCCGUGAACCUUUACUAUAGCUUUGCACUGGACUUUGAAUUUGCUUGUGUAGGAUAGGUGGGAGGCUUUGAAGCGUGGACGCCAGUCUGCGUGGAGCCAACCUUGAAAUACCACCCUGGCAACUUUGAGGUUCUAACUCAGGUCCGUUAUCCGGAUCGAGGACAGUGUAUGGUGGGUAGUUUGACUGGGGCGGUCUCCUCCUAAAGAGUAACGGAGGAGUACGAAGGUGCGCUCAGACCGGUCGGAAAUCGGUCGUAGAGUAUAAAGGCAAAAGCGCGCUUGACUGCGAGACAGACACGUCGAGCAGGUACGAAAGUAGGUCUUAGUGAUCCGGUGGUUCUGUAUGGAAGGGCCAUCGCUCAACGGAUAAAAGGUACUCCGGGGAUAACAGGCUGAUACCGCCCAAGAGUUCAUAUCGACGGCGGUGUUUGGCACCUCGAUGUCGGCUCAUCACAUCCUGGGGCUGAAGCCGGUCCCAAGGGUAUGGCUGUUCGCCAUUUAAAGUGGUACGCGAGCUGGGUUUAGAACGUCGUGAGACAG